rnacentral:lncRNA from 1 species
GACGGCAGCGGUGCAGGUUAAGUCUGAUCUGGGGUCGACCCAGAUGGCAAUUCAUGGAAAAAUGGCUGGUCGCUUAAAGUGUCCGGCGGAGGCAGCGGUGGAAUCGACGGUGACGGGGUGUCCGGCAAAGGGGAUGAGCUGUCUGGAAACAGGGGCCGGUGGAGAACUCUUCUAUCAAUUCCUUCGCCUUUAGUGCCUCCACAUAUCAAUUCUCUUCAUAUCCUCACGAAUGUAGCUUCGCUGGUUUUCAUUUUGAUUUUUUAUGGAAGGUAUGAGAUUUCUUUAAUUUUUUGCUUGGUUUAUGAUUUUUUUUUGUGGAUGGACUAGCUGGGGGCUAUGGGUCUCUUCAAAUUUGGAUAGUCUAGGGUUUCUGACGAGUUUUCUGUUUGUGGUUUUGGUUUUUAAGGAUUGCGUUCAAACUGUAAAAAGGUAUACUUCGUUAGCAUUCGAUAUUUAGUUAGCAAUUUUAUUGAUACUAUCGACAAUAUCACGAUAUUAUCAAUAAUAUCGCAAUAUAUUGCCCAAAUAAUGCAUUAAAAUACUAAAAAUAUUGUAUAUGAUAUUAUCGCGAUAAUAUCGACAAAUGUAUCAAUAUAUUGACGAUAAUUAAGUGGAUAAGCGUGAAAAUAUCGUCCUCUAAAAAAAAACGAUAUUAUCGGCGAAAUAUUGCCGAUAAUAUCGAUAUUUAAGACCUUGGUCUUAAUUGCUCAAAUCUUUAUGUCUGAGCCACUAAGUUCAUUUUCUUUCACUUUCAAUUACUAAUUUUACACGGAGAAUGUCUUUGUGAAUGGGUUAUAUAACACUAAGGGCUUCACCACCCCAUGGCGGUCUUCUAGCUAGGUUAGAGAAACAUAUGGUUGGGUGACGAUAGGAAUUCCAUCUAGGGUAUCACUUUUUUUGUUACGCAAGAGUAGUCCUGGCACAAAUUAUAUAUUAUCUUUUACUUAUAAUCUUAAGUAGUCAGUUAAUAUACAACUUAGUUGUAUUUCUCUUCACUUAUAGAUAAGACGUCUUAGGUUUGAAUCUCCUCAAUAUGGCAAAUUUGAUAGAAAUGUAUUCCUAUACUCGUUAGUAUAAAUAUAGGGUGGUGCUAUCCACACACUUAUUUUUAUGUUCCACACAGUCUGCUUAAUUUUUAAUCAUCGGAUCAAAUGAAUUGAAAAAGACAAAUGAUAAAAAUUAACAGGACAUGUGUGGGAGUUAAAAGGAGCUGUGUGGAUAUCACCAUCCACUAGAAAAAAAUACUUUUUCCAAACAAACUAUUUUUGUCGCAUAAACACACAUUUUGAUGCCUUAGAUUUCGUGCAAUAAACCGCUUCGUCGGGUAAAGUUCGUCGCACAAAACUCGUUGCAUAAGGUUUUGUC